rnacentral:lncRNA from 1 species
UUCAUUUUAAUUCUAUAAAUACUAUAUUUCCUUUGUAAAUCUGCAAACAGAGAUGUGCUGUUCCUCCUUGAAGGACUCAUUACCAAGCUGCAAGGAGUGUGGCCAGAUGAUAAGACUCCAGUUGUUAGCAUUGUAAGGGUUCACCUCAGCUUUCCAGCCAUGAUCCUCCUAAUCCUGAGGUGGCUUCUAGCCAAUGAGACAAUGCAAUGGAACAACAGUAUAGCCAUCUUCACCUGCCAUGCCCCUGACAAGCAGUGUUUAUUCUGGAGCUUUCUAUUGUGCUGACAGCAAUUUUGUCAGCUCUGCUUCAUUCCACUUGCUUCCUGUGCCUAAUUUCACUUCCAUUCUUUUCCAUCCACUGGAAUUAUGCUCCUUUAUAAAAGUUUUCACUUCUCCCUACACUUUAGCAUCUUUCCCUGGAAAAUGCUAUGAUAAACCAUAGACAAGUUUGUUCUUAUUAUAGUCUACACAUUUACUCUCUCACUUACCUUUUAAAUCUGUUUAUGUAAGUAAUGCUUAGUAAGUUUGGUACAGGUACAGAAAUUUUGUUUCUUCACAUAAACACUGCACUUUGAAAUACUGGUAUGAAAUAUUUUACAUUAUUUUAAGUACUUUAAUGAUUUAAAUGUAU